UUAAGUUCAGCGGGUAUCCCUACCUGAUCCGAGGUCAAACUUAGAAAGUUGGGGGUUGCUGGCCAGCACGCACCGAGACCCUGUAGCGAGGAGUAUUACUACGCUUAGAGCACGAUGGCACCGCCACUGAUUUUAAGACCGGUCCAGACGGACGCGGCCCAAGACAAGCAGAGCUUGAGUGUUGUACUGACGCUCGAACA
rnacentral:misc_RNA from 1 species